ACUAUGGCAUGGACCCUCAUCCUAGAGCCCCACUACUCAGAGGAGCUGGGAAGAAUUUCCACCCUUCCUAGUGGCAAGUCCCACUGUGAGAGCAGAGUGCCACCAGGCAAACAGGGCAUAAAGCCUGCUUUAAGGAGAAUCCUUAUACUGGGGGUUAUGAAGUGCAAUACACCUUCAUCCUCACGCUAACACUGGUACCAUGUAGCCCAAGCUUGUCUAACCUGCAGUCCGCAGGCUGUGUAUGGCCCAGGAUGGCUUUGAAUGUGGCCCAACGCAAAUUUGUAAACUUUCUUAAAACAUUAUCAGAUUUUUUUUUCUCAUCAGCUAUCAUUAGUGUUAGUGUAUGUUAUUUGUGACUCAAGACAAUUCUUCUUUUCCAAUGUGGCCCAGAGAAGCCAAAAGACUGGACACCCCUGAUGUGGCCCUUUCAUCCAUAGUAGCCUAUUUUGUCCUAAAGACGGUCUUGUGCAGUGAGCAGGCCAGGCCUCCCCACUACCACAGUUUACAGGCAAGGAAUGUGAUAUUUCAUAGGAUGACCCUGACUGGCACCUACAUUGCUAGCCAAAGAAUGGCACAAAGAUGUGGACAUAAGAGACAACCUUAAGCAGCUGACUGCUGGCUCCUGCAAGAGUGUCGUCAUGGCAUUUGUCCUGGGGUCCCAAGGAAAGAAAACAAAUCUGCAGCUAAGGAACAGGCUGAGUUGACAAAGCAGCUUCCACAGUAACACAAGAACAAAGGGUGUAUGUAGAUGUGCACGUGGUAGCAGGUUCUACUAAAGGAACCUGGACUGACCAUUCUCACUCACAUUCUUUGGGAGCUGUACUUUAAUACUUUCAGAAAAGCCAUGGGAACACACCAGAGUGACUGCUUGAGUAAAUAAGUAGCAUAAACAGCAAGUACACAUCACUGGGCCCAAUACUAUGAAAUCCCACAUGAGAAACUUGAAAGUGAAAGCUGGAAUUCUGAGGAUAUUGGUUUUGCUUAAUAAAAAGCAUUUCAACAGUUAUUGUCAUGAUAUUGCAACUGAUACUGAACAAGGACCCAAGACCCAGAGUGAUGUUUAGCAUGGGCUGGCCUCAGCAGGACUGAAAGGACAUCAAUAAGGGAGAACAGAGAGAAGGAAGGAGGACAAGUGCCAACUUUGAGCAGAAAUGGGGUUUCACUAUGUUGGCCAGACUGGCCUUGAACUCCUGACCUUGUGAUCUGCCCGCCUCAGCCUCCCAAAGUGCUGGGAUUACAGGCAUGAGCCACAGUGCCUGGCCAACAUCCAUACUCUUGAUCUGUUCCUCCACCCACAGCACAGCUUAUCUGGCCAGGCUCUCGUUCGUUCAUUACACAGCUUUCUGCUGGGAAUCAGAUAAAUAAUAUAAAGAUGAUACUAACGAUUAAUGGAGGCUUCAUGGAGUCUCCCAGAAAUAUCACGUUUGUGCUUAAUAUUCCAAAGGCUACUGGUAGGGAUUUCUCAAUCUAACAUGAGUCUGAAAGAGAGAUGAUUUUAAUCAGAGCUAUUCUCAGGACUCUUUAAAUCAGGCCCUCAAGUGCUUAUCUUCUUUGCCUAAGUUUAGAGUCAACCCUUAAAGCAAGUAAACAGUAUCCCCAUAUAUUUAGGAAUUCUCAAAAUCCUUGGAUUUGUUCAUACUAAGCUACUGUUAUACUCAUUUAAAAAAAAAAUUUUGGGGCUCACUUUUCGCCAUCUGCAAAAUGGGUAUAUAACAUAAAUCCAUUCUGUAUCUCUUAAUCAUGUCUUAUCCUAGAUGAAUAAACACAUGAAAAAUCAGCC